CCCCGGACCUGACUGCUAUCGGAUUGAUACUAAGCCAUGCGAGUCAUUGUAGCAAUACAAGGCAGACGGCUCAGUAACGCGUAGUCAACCUACCCUAUGGACGGGAAUAACCUCGGGAAACUGAGUAUAAUGCCCGAUAGAACAUUAUACCUGGAAUGGUUUAUGUUCCAAAUGAUUUAUCGCCGUAGGAUGGGACUGCGGCCUAUCAGUUUGUUGGUGAGGUAAUGGCCCACCAAGACUAUUACAGGUACGGGCUGUGAGAGGAGUGGCCCGGAGAUGGGUACUGAGACACGGACCCAGAAAAUAUGGGGCGCAGCAGGCGAGAAAACUUUGCAAUGUGCGAAAGCACGACAAGGUUAAUCCGAGUGGUUUCUGCUAAAGGAACCUUUUGUCAGUCCUAGAAACACUGAUGAAUAAGGGGUGGGCAAGUUCUGGUGU
rnacentral:rRNA from 1 species